UACCAGGACAAAGGCACGCAUUGUUCACGU
rnacentral:piRNA from 1 species